GAGUUUGAUCAUGGCCAGGAUGAACGCUGGCGGCAUGCCUAAUACAUGCAAGUCGUACGCAAUCACUUUAUUCGCUCGCAGCCGUGGAAUUUCCACAAUUGCGAGCGGAAUAUAUGAGUGAUUGAGUGGCGGACGGGUGAGUAACACGUUGGUACCUGCCCCAAAGUGGGGAAUAACUGCCCGAAAGGGUAGCUAAUACCCCAUAGUCUUAUGCUAGUCAUAAGUAAAGCUUCGGCGCUUUGGGAGGGGCCUGCGUCUGAUUAGCUAGUUGGUUGAGGUAAUGGCUCACCAAGGCGACGAUCCAGUAGCUGGAUCGAGAGGUUGACCAGCCACACUGGGACUGAGAUACGGCCCAGACUCCUACGGGAGGCAGCAGUAAGGAAUCUUCCACAAUGGGCGCAAGCCUGAUGGAGCAAUGCCGCGUGCAGGAAGACGCUUUUCGGAGUGUAAACUGCUUUUCUGAAGGAAGAUUAUGACGGUACUUCAGGAAUAAGGAUCGGCUGACUACGUGCCAGCAGCGCGGUAA
rnacentral:rRNA from 1 species